GAUUCACUAGCUCAGCUGGUAGAGCAUCUGACUUUUAAUCAGGGGGUCCCGGGUUCGAGUCCCGGGUGGAUCACCA
rnacentral:tRNA from 1 species